rnacentral:rRNA from 1 species
CGGGUGAGUAACGCGUGAGCAAUCUGCCCAUAUCAGGGGAAUAACAGUUAGAAAUGACUGCUAAUACCGCAUAGGACCACGGGGAGGCAUCUCUCUGAGGUGAAAGAUUUAUCGGAUAUGGAUGAGCUCGCGUCCCAUUAGGUAGUUGGUGAGGUAACGGCCCACCAAGCCGACGAUGGGUAGCCGGCCUUAGAGGGUGAUCGGCCACAUUGGAACUGAGACACGGUCCAAACUCCUACGGAAGGCAGCAG